UACGUAGGGGGCAAGCGUUGUCCGGAAUCAUUGGGCGUAAAGAGCGUGUAGGCGGCUCGGUAAGUCCGCUGUAAAAGUCCAGGGCUCAACCCUGGAAAGCCGGUGGAAACUGUCGAGCUAGAGUCCGGAAGAGGCGAGUGGAAUUCCUGGUGUAGCGGUGAAAUGCGCAGAUAUCAGGAGGAACACCAAUGGCGAAGGCAGCUCGCUGGGACGGUACUGACGCUGAGGUGCGAAAGCGUGGGGAGCAAACAGG
rnacentral:rRNA from 1 species